GCGGGCGUAGCAUAAUGGUAGUGUGCGGGCCUUCCAAGCCUUGAAGUGUCAGUUCGAAUCUGACCGUCCGUCCCA
rnacentral:tRNA from 1 species